GAGCAAGAGAGAGAGAGAGAGGGUGUAGAGAGGGUGUUAACCGUUUGAAGGAGGGGCAUGUACCCCGCCUAACAGAUCACCACAGUUUGUCAGGACGGUCACACAUUUGAAGAAUCGCGCUGUCAUUUUUAAGUUCCUAAUGGACUCCAGCUGACGCUCACAGUUACAGGAGGAAGUUUGCGGUGAGUUUUUACAAACAGAGUAAAAGUGUAAGAAAGUGUUACAUUGGCAUAUACUGGGUCUGACCACUGACAGACAGAUUUCUGACCUUCUGCUCAGUAAAGAACUUCUGACUGAACCUUCACGUUAGUUAGUUACAUGGCAGUUAGUUAGGCAGUUACAUGGUUCUGAUUGGACAGAACACCAGGACUCAGAUCGGUGGAAUCCCAGGGGUCUGAUUGGACAGGGCCCUGUGUUUUGAUUGGAUGAAAUUCUUCACCUCUGCCUGGACAGAAUUCCUGGAUUCUGAUUGGACAGGACUCUUGGGCUUCGAUAGGACAAGAUCCCAGGAUUCUUACUAAGCAGCAUCUUUGGCUCAGAAUAGAUGAGAUGUUUGGAUUUUAACUGGACUGGAUCCCUGUGUCAUGAUUGGACAAAACUCCUGGACUCCCAUUUGAUGAGAUCCCAGAGAGCUUUGGGCACUGGCUGGACGAGGUUCCAGGGUCUGAUUGGACAGAACCCCUGCUCUCUGUCUGUAUGGGAUCCCUGGGGUCUGAUGGAAUUGGGCCCCAGGCUUUGACCAGGCAGGAUCACUGCGUUCUAAAUGGAUACAAUCUGUAGGUUGUUAUUGGACAGGAUCUGUGGGGUCUGAUUGGACAAACCGCUGUUGGCUCUGACUGGACAGGGCAUAUAGGUUUUGAUUGGACAACCCCUGGGCAGUGAUUGUUUGUGUUUGCAGUGUGUGAGGGAAUAUACUUCAUCCAGGUGUGUGGAGGAUGUACAAGAUGACCACAGAACUUCACAGAGAGAGACACAGAAGAUCUGGGAGACUCUCCUCUUCCUCUUCUUCAUCCUCUACAUCUUCCAGUGGCCUAAUGGCUCCAAGAGUCGCCACAGUGAUGCUGACCAGCCAGAGACGCCACACACAACGGCUAGCACCGCCAACCCAUGGGCACAGGAGACGACAUACAGGUAGUGCUGAACCGAAGGUUGGAACAAUGCCAGAUUCACCAGCUGAUGUCAAAACACAGCCCAGGUCGACUCCGCCCACAAUGCCACCUCCACCACCUGCCGUAAGCCACGCAGCCAAUCGCAACGCUUCGUUCACCCCAACAACCAUGUUGAACGGCAGCAGUCACUCCCCCACCGCGCUGAACGGAGCUCCCUCCACCCCAAAUGGCUUCAGUAACGGUCCGGCCAGCUCGUCCACCGGCUCUCUGCCCACUCAGCAGCUGCCCCCGGCCUGCGGCGCCCGGCAGCUCUGCAAACUCAAACGCUUCCUGACCACACUGCAGCAGUUCGGCAACGACAUCUCGCCCGAAAUCGGAGAGCGCGUCCGCAGCCUGGUGCUCGGCCUGGUGAACUCCACUCUCACUAUAGAAGAAUUCCACUCCAAACUUCAGGAGGCCACCAACUUUCCUCUGCGCCCCUUCGUCAUUCCGUUCCUCAAGGCUAAUCUGCCCCUGCUGCAGAGGGAAUUGCUACACUGUGCUCGGAUGGCUAAACAGACUCCAGCUCAGUAUUUAGCUCAGCAUGAGCAGCUGCUGCUGGACGCUAAUGCUAGCUCACCACUGGACUCUUCAGAAAUACUGCUGGAACUCAAUGAACACGGCAAGAGACGCACUCCAGACAGGACCAAAGAUGCGGGAGCUGAAAGGGACGGCCUGCAUGCAGAGCAUCUGGCCAAGCGGCCGUGUACGGUCAGCCCCAGCCAGCGCUUCAGCCCCAGCAGCGGCCUGGCCGCCCACGCGCCACCCAACGGCCUCCCCACGCACCCCCCCAACGGAUUGCACCCAAACCCACCUGCCCCUCAGCAGUACCGGCUGGAGGACAUGGCUCUGGCUCAUCACUACAGAGAUGCCUACAGACACAUGGAGCACAGGGAGGCACGAGAGCGCCACCGCCAAACAGCUGUGCAUGGAGCGCGUCAGGAGGAGGUGAUCGAUCACCGGCUCACUGACCGCGAGUGGGCCGAGGAGUGGAAGCACCUGGAUAAUUUGUUGAACUGCAUUAUGGACAUGGUGGAGAAAACUCGGCGUUCACUGACCGUCCUGCGCCGCUGUCAGGAGGCCGACCGCGAGGAGAUGAACCACUGGAUCCGUCGCUAUAGCGAUGUGGAGGAUAUGAAAAAAGGUGGGGGCUCCGCCCAGCGGCCGGUUCAUCAUCAGCACAAGCCUUCAUCCCCCUCCAACAGCACUAACGGCAGCGAGGCGCAGCACAUAGAUAUCCACCGAGACUUCCUCCACAGGCCGCCAUCCGGUUACCUGCCCGAGGAGAUCUGGAGAAAAGCCGGUGCCCCCAGCAUCCCGCUUUCCCCAGCACUAAAGCAGCUCCACAGCAAGCAGGAGGAGGCAGUGAACGAGGUGAAGAGGCAGGCUAUGUCGGAGCUGCAGAAAGCCGUGAGCGAGGCGGAGAGGAAAGCUCACGAGAUGAUUUCCGCUGAACGCUCGAAGAUGGAGAGAGCCCUGGCUGAGGCAAAGAGACAGGCUUCAGAGGACGCACUGUCUGUCAUUAACCAGCAGGAGGACUCCAGUGAGAGCUGCUGGAACUGCGGCCGCAAAGCCAGCGAGACCUGCAGCGGGUGCAACACGGCACGCUACUGCGGCUCUUUCUGCCAGCACAAGGACUGGGAGAAGCACCACCACGUGUGCGGCCAGGGUCUGCAGGGCCUGCCCGGGAGCAGCAGCAGCAUCCCUCUUGGGGCGGGGACGCCCUCGUCUUCUUCCACAUCCACUUCCUCUUCUUCCUCGUCCGCCAGCAUCCCGCCCACGCACUCCGAAAGCAACCCCUCCGGACCCCUGAGCCUGGCCGGAGCGGCCAACAGCCCAAAGGACGCCAGCUCCAGCUCCAGCAGUGCCUCGCGCUCCACGACCCCCGCCACGCCGGCCCUGCUGGACUCCUCGUCGCGCUGAUUCUUUACCUCUGACCCCCCGUGACCCACACACAUACCUGCUGCUGCUGUGCUGCUGCUUCUUCUGCACCCUCUCUGCUCCAAAACACGAGCUGGCAAAAGUAUCUCCAUCAACACUUACACAUGCGUUUACCCUGUUUACAAGCCCACAGGACCAGACAGCGUAAGAUUUGCUCCCUAGCUAACUGAAUCCGUCAACCUCUGGAAUGAAAAAGACUGUAAAAAGGGCCAAAAAUGGAAAACAGCUCUUGGUCUCCCAGCCGUCUACAAAUGUACACAAUAUCCGAAAGGGUUUAUGUUACCGAAGGCCACUGAGAAGGCGCCAGGGAAUGCGCAAAAUUUAUUAUAAAGCAUGUCUUAUUAUAAAUAAGGCACAAAAAAGAUCAACAGAGAGAUCUUUAAGCUUGGCUAUGCUAAUACGUGGCCUCAGUAAUUUAAGCCCAGCGUGCAUGGAGGCAGCCCACACCCAGGACUCUUCCUCAGAGAGAGUGAUGGGAAGUUUUUGUGACGAAUAGGCGUUCACCUCCUCCUGCAGAGGGGCAGCAAAACCACAUCUGGAUUAUAUUACCCCCUCCACAGACCACAUCUGGACAGCGCUCCGUUCCGUUCCACACACGACGAAAGAUUUCGUUCACAGAUGCAGUAGCUAGCCUCCUCGGUGGAGGCGGUGGAGGCCCCCGUGGCACAACCAAGUCUGGAGACACACGUGGAGUUGUGGUGGUCUACACUAAAGGGUCUGAUUAAAGUCAUUACGCUAGCCAAGUGCUAGCCCAGGGCCAUGCUGUUUCUAAGGGUGCCCACAAUAGGACAAAAGUACUCGGCAGCAGAGUGAAGUGUCUUGAUCUUCGAUCAUCUGAACAAAAACCAAAAGCACUCCAGCUUUACAGUGAAGGGUUCCUGCCCGCCAUUGACCGACUGAACGGGCAAUCGUGCACUCGAAACGUCCUGUCCACGUGCCGUAACCUCCGAUAUGGACCAAAACUUGAAGGUUUUAUUGUUUAUUGUGUUGUUGUCAUAUUUUAGCGCUUUUGAUGUUUUGAUUGACCGUUCGUUUAAUUUAUCGAAGUGCAUAUUUGAAUGAUCUAUUUUCUCAUUUCUUAAUCUAAAUUAAUAUAUACAAGUUGUUAGCUACGUGGUGCUUUUACGUCUCGCUACAGCGAGUGUAAGAGCACAUCAUCUGAACUACAGAAGUGUUGGUAAUUCUCUCCAACCUGGGGGUCAUUUUUUAUUGCAUUUUUAUUUUAUUUUAAAAGUGUCAGUCCUCUUUUCUCCUCUCUCCUCACCCUUCCGCUUCUCUCCUCAUUAGCUACCUCCUGUCCAAGAGUGCGAGAGAGCCACAUGUUGCUCAGAGAACGGUGCCGCUAGCAGACAUGCAAACCGAGCGCCAUCGUCCACCACCUUUAUCAUUAAGCAUUUACAUUCACGUUGUGUAUGGUGCUUGUUUUUAAUACCCUUCAAAUUAAAAGUGCUUAAAUGGUUUCUUUGGAGUGCUUUGCUGUAGAAGAACCACUUUCAGUAGAAAGGGGCCUUUUUGAGUGUGUAAAGAACCUUAAGUUUGAAAAACCUUCAUAUAAUGUAUAGCUUUUCUAUCAGUUGAAGGUUUCGUCAUAAAACUGUGCAUCCAAGAACCGUUUAGGAACCGUUAUUUUUAAGAGUUGAAUAGACGUGAAUCUCGCAUUCAAACAUUUAUGCCACUUUCAAUACAACCAGUGUGUCAUCACAUUUAAAGAGACACUUCGGCCAAAAUAAAGAAUGUAAAACUGGCUAAAUCUGUUGGGAAUGUCCCCACUCACCUCCUGCAGUGGGGCCACAAUAGUCCCGACAGUGAGAUUUCCCAGUUUAAACAGUAGGAAAACCUUCUGAUGAUGUAUCUCGAAGGUGGGAGGAGCUUCUGAAAAAUGACAAGCCUGAAGAGGUGAUGAUGUACGUCAGAUCAAAACCUUGUACGUCCUCUUCUAAUAUUUAAAAAAAAAAUUAUGUCAUUUUAAGAACAGCCUCCAUUUACACUGUAUGGAAAUUUGGCCUAAAAUAGCAAAUAGAAAUGGUCCAAAAUGACUUAAUAAAUUCUUGUUACAUCAGCCUGCGUUAAAAGUUUAGCAGCUUAUUUUUCUUCUCUUGUAAAGAUAUUUUUUGUACAUACAAUAUAUAUGUUCAUAUGCGCUGAUGAGUCAUUAGAGACUCAUCAACCAGGCUUUGCUCUCGCUAUAGCGCCCCCUUGCUGAAAUGCUUAGAAUGCACGUUGCGCUUGCAUUGCUUUAUGUUACUGAGUGAGUCGUCACAAGAUUUUGGAGUGCAGUUUCGGUGUAGCGCAAAGCAUUUUUUGCAUGAAGUACGUUUCCGGCACGGGUAGCCAGAUAGCGAACGUCACUGCUAGAAGCGAAAAGCCGAAUAUCAAAUAAAAGAGAUAAAAUUUCAAAACAAGUUCUGCCAGACUGAUGAAGCUGAAUAGAAUAUUAAAGGCUAGUUUUAGGCCGAAGUGGCUCUUUAACACAGACACAAACAAAUGUUCUAAUUGUACUCUUAGACAUAUGAGGCAUAAGAUCUUUAAGAACCCCAAAAAGUGCCACUCCGUUGAAGUCAUUUAAUUUUAAACACAUUUUAUUAUUUUUUUUAAUUCAAACAUUCAUUGUAGCUUAACAUAUGCCACAGCUAUCCCAAACAACUGAAAGCACAGACCAAAGCAUCUCUGCGCGCAGCGUUAGCAUUCUGGACUUUGCGUGAACUGUGAACCAAAGUGUAGGGGAUAAACCGAACGCUCGAAGCACAAGUCGGCACCAAACACGCAUAGCUUAUAAAAGAAGAGAGUUGCAUGUUUCUGCGAAUCCAAAGCAUCAGAUAACUCCACGAAGCUAGCCUUGCUCAAGGAUGUGACAGAUAUUGUUUGUGAGAGCGAAUGAGUUGCGUGAAGAGGGGAUGAAUGUGUGCUUGAGAGAGAUAGAGGCUUUCUGUUCAUGAUCCUUUGCUGUACGAAACUACUUGAAUCUCCAGAGCUUUAAUAGAACACCCGCAAGCAAAAUUAAAGCAGAGAAAGCGCAUGCACUUCACUCGCUCCCUUCUUUCUUCCUCCACGCUUUGCAUGUCUGCUUAGCUCGUCACAUUCGUUUCAUAUACAAGCCCAGCCGUAUAUGAUCUGAUUUGUGGCUCAUUGUGUCUCCAACCAAAGUUGAACCAAAUAAAAGGGAAGAAAUGCUAUUGCAUCUGUAUAUAUCUUCACUGUCCUUGGCACAGAGUGUGAGGGGGGGUGCUGGUUCUCUGAGCAGAUCUGUGGUGGUGGUGGUGGUGGUGCUGGGGGGCUGGGGGUUGGGGAGAUAUUUGGGCUCGUUAGCCUGUUGCUUAUCGUGGGACCCUUGGAGAGAAAUGUAUAUCCACAUCAGCGCAGAAGCUACACUAACCCACUUAAAAAAGAUGGGCUUCAAGGGUUCUUGAGGAAAGACAAUGGUUGUAUCUAGAACCGUACGUUCUAAAUAGAACCAUGUAAUGGGUAAUUGGCUCUUUGCAUGGUGAAAUAGUUCUUCAGAUGGAUGGAGAACGUGUUGUAUGGGCCUAUAUAGCACCAAAAAAGGUUCUCUUGUUAACUAUUUCGCCACAUGAAGAACCGGUUAAGCAUGCAGAUGGUUUUCAUAGAGCUGAUGGUUCUAAAUAGAACCAUGUCAUGCGUAAUUGGCUCUUUGCAUGGUGAAAUAGUUCUUCAGAUGGAUGGAGAACGUGUUGUAUGGGCCUAUAUAGCACCAAAAAAGGUUCUCUUGUUAACUAUUUCGCCACAUGAAGAACCGGUUAAGCAUGCAGAUGGUUUUCAUAGAGCUGAUGGUUCUAAAUAGAACCACUGGCUUCACUAAAGAGCCCUUGGACCAUGUUUUUGAAGUGUAACCCCGACGAUGGCGCGUUUAGUGAAAAGAAGAAGCUCACCCAGUAAUGCUAAUGGGCGCUAGUUAGCAGUUAGCAUGAUGUCAUUUGGUUAAGUCAGAACUGGUGCGCUGUUAGCGUUGUCGUUUUCACAUUUUUGGGUGAACUGCUCUUUUAAGCAUCCGAUUAUAUUUAUCCUGAGAUAACUGCAACCUUCUUUCCUUUAUUUAUGGCAUCCAUGAGGGGUAUAGCUGCGAUGUUUUGCUAGCCAGGCUGCAUGCAGGCCUUUCCAAAGCCCUUCUAUCUCUAUUUAGGGACCCUUUUCCAGUGGACAUGGCUCAUCCUAUUGUACUUCAGACCUCACACUAAUAAGACGCUAUCGUAAGCAAAGCUGGAGUGGACGCUUGAUCUCCCGAAUGCUCGACGUUUUUUUGUAAAUUUAACCUAAAAGGCGAAGGCUUGGUUUGACAUGUUUAGGGAAACAUUAUUUACUGUACUGUGCAAUACAUUGUUACAGAAAAGACAUUGUUUCUGUAGGAAAAUGUUGGUGUGAUGAAGAAUAUGUUUUUUUUUCCUCUUUAAAGGUCCUGUUAUCAGUCUCUAGAUGAAGUGAACUGUGCCAGGAGAAAUUUUUGAUUUUUAAUUUUUGAUUUUUUUUUCCUUGCAUGCUCUCCUCCCUCUUUUGCUGCCCCCUCCCCUCCCUUACUGUGCGCUUCGUUGGAUAUGUGACGCUGUAAACAUUCUAAAUCAGGUUAUUGUCUGUGUUGAGAUACGUAUCUGUGUAAUUAAAAAAGACAGUGAAAUAUAAAA